UGGCUCUAGCAUCGAUGAAGAACGCAGCGAAAUGCGAUAAGUAAUGCGAAUUGCAGAAUUCCGCGAGUCAUCGAAUCUUUGAACGCACAUUGCGCCUGCUAGUAUUCUGGCAGGCAUGCCUGUCCGAGCGUCAUUUCGACACCCAGGCCCUCGUUGCCUGCUGUUGGGGCCUUCCGGCCGGCGCGCCAGCGCCGCCGGAGCCCUGAAAGAUAGUGGCGAGCUUCUACCUGACCUCCCGAGUGUAGUAAUUUACCAUCGCUCUCAGUGGGGUCUCUUGGGCUCAGCCGUUAAAAUGAACGGGUCCUAGUAAUAGGCCUAAAUCUUUAGUAGUUUGACCUCGGAUCAGGUAGGAAUACCCGCUGA
rnacentral:misc_RNA from 1 species